AACGAACGCUGGCGGCGUGCCUAACACAUGCAAGUCGUGCGAGAAAGUUCCUUCGGGAGCGAGUAAAGCGGCGCACGGGUGAGUAACACGUAGGUAACCUGCCCCCCAGUCUGGAACAACUAGAGGAAACUCUAGCUAAUGCCGGAUGAGACCACGAUCCCUUCGGGGGUUGCGGCCAAAGAUGGCCUCUACUUGUAAGCUAUCGCUGAGGGAUGGGCCUGCGGGCCAUUAGCUUGUUGGUGAGGUAACGGCUCACCAAGGCUGUGAUGGCUAGCUGGUCUGAGAGGAUGACCAGCCACACUGGGACUGAGACACGGCCCAGACUCCUACGGGAGGCAGCAGUGGGGAAUAUUGCGCAAUGGGCGAAAGCCUGACGCAGCGACGCCGCGUGGGUGAUGAAGGCCUCGGUCGGUAAGACCGUCGUCGCAGGGAAGGAAGUAAGAC
rnacentral:rRNA from 1 species